UCUUUUAUAAAUUUAUUUACUAUCACUAAUAUAGUGAGGUAAAUAUAAUUUUUAUGCAUUUACACUACAGAUAAUCUUUAUCGCGAGCACUCAGCUGUGAGUCAGUGUGAAUAAAAAAGCUGGCGUGUUAAAAAUGAGUCUAGAGCUUAUUUUGUUGUGUGUAUUAUGUUAUGUACUAUACUUAGUAUUUUUUAAUUUUACGAAAGAUCGUGGUAAAUUAAAAGACGAGCUUGAAUGGCGCAGAGAAAAUGAACAAAAGUUGAGGGAUGAUAUCAGAAAGGAAGAAGUGAAACUAAGCUUUCUUAAAUAUCAUAAGCAAAUGGAGGAAAAACAACAACAGCUUGCGUUGGAGAUCGCACGCAAAGAUCAGCAAAUUCAUAAUUUGGAAAAAAAAAUGGAAGAGAAAGGAUUUUGGAGUUCUUGCAAAUCAACUUUGAGUAAAUAUAAAAAUAUGAUAUCCUUAAAUCGUGCAACGCACGCAACCGACGCCAGCAGCACUCCUCAAGCUAGCCAACAAUAGAACCCUACAGGAUAAUCACAAUGCAGACAAGGAGCUAGGAGCAAGGAUCUACAUUGACUCAGUAUACUUUCCAAUCUCUUUGGCUGACCUUUGAGCGGCUAGCAUCUGUUGAAUUCUUCGUUCGUACCUAUUAGUAUGUACAUGGUAUAUGCAAUAAAGAUUUAAUGGCUUGUGCUUUUCCUGAAAUUUAGUUGGUGCCCUGCGCAGCCAAUAAACAAAUAAGAAAUGAAAUCGAGUAAAGCAACACAAUACAGGAUCAAUUAUGUAUGAUCUUGUACACAUUUUUUGGUUACUCGGAAAUUCGAUCGUACACCGAGUUGUGGCAAAGCUUAUUUUGUGAGCAAUAAGUUUUAUUUUGUAGUAAUCUAAUCGGACAUGCCAACUCUUUGAAAUGAGUCACAGAUCCUAGAGACUGGCAUAAUUUCAAAUCGAUAUAAAUGAUCAAAUGGCUUUUCAAUUCUGAUACAUUAAUUCUUAUCACACAGUUGAUUCCGUACGUUUUUUAUUGAUUGUUAUCGGUAUAAGCCCAUUGAAAACCGUCCUAGGAUGAUAUUAGUUUUUUUUAUUAAAAAACGACAGCGUUACCAAAACAGCGUAAUUAAAUUUGAAGACUUUUCCAGAGAAUGUCAUAGCUGGAAAUCGAUAGAUCGAUAACACUUAUAUACCUGAUUAAUUUAAAUAUUUUGUCGUAAGCUUAUUUUAAUGGUAUAAUUUUAGAUGUGACCUACAGAUAACAUUAUCAUUGCAUACGCCAGAGUGAGUCAGUUGUCGUGCUUCGAAAUGCUUGAAAACUUGGGACUUUUGAUUACUACUGGAAUAUGUUUCAUUAUUUAUUUAAUGUUCCAAUAUUUUACGGAAGAGCGUAAUAAGCUAUUAGCAAAUUUAGAAAAUGCCCGAAUAGCUGAACAGUUGAUAAAGGACGAAAUUAAAGAUUUAAAAAUUAAGGCCUGCGAAGAAAAAAUAAACGUCUUGGAGAAUAAAGUGUCGACUCUUAAUGAGGAAGUUAAAUGUAAUAAGGAGCAACUUGCAAUCGAGUGCAAGAAGAACGCGAAAGAAGAAAGUUCGUGUUCAAUAUCUUGAUUCGUUAAGGUCAAUAUGCGACUAAUCCUAAAUAUGAAUAAUUACAACAUUUAGUUUUGUUAUAAAGUGAGUUUUAGCCGGGUUAACUGCUACCUUAAAUUAAUAUAUAUGAUUUGGCUAAUUGAACAUAGCAGUCUUAUCACUUCCGCUGGCAUUAGUCAUAGCCGCUCAGGCAGCCAUUAUAUUUUCAAAUUGAAUUCAAUAAUUUUGUGUAAAAUUUAUUCAAACGUAUAAAUUUUUACUGAUAAUAA